AUGGAAAAACACCUAUUUCUCAUUUUAAUUCUGACUUCAGGUGUGAUGACUGCAGACCAGAUUAGGCCAAAUAAAGAAGAAAUUGUCGUAAAGGAAGAGGAGACUGUGGCCCUCAGCUGCUCAUAUACAACAAGCAGCAGUUAUUUUUAUCUGUACUGGUACAGACAGUAUCCUAAUGGAGAACCUCAGUAUUUAAUAUAUAAGUAUUCAGGUGGUGGAGGUGGGAGUCCCUCUGAUCCUCGUUUUCAGAUGACUACAUCACAAUCAUCCACUGAACUCACUAUUACUGGUGUAACUCUGUCAGAUUCAGCUCUCUAUUAUUGUGCUCUAAGAGCACAGUGA